ensembl:lncRNA
GUCGCCCCCUGCUGGUCACUACAGAGAAGUGGAGUCAUUUCCUCAUAGACGUCUAUGGGAGCAGAGGAGUCGCCCCCUGCUGGUCACUACAGAGAAGUAGAGUCAUUUCCUCAUAGACGUCUAUGGGAGCAGAGGAGUCGCCCCCUGCUGGUCACUACAGAGAAUGCAGCUUUAAAACGCCUUUACUUUGUGGAUCCGGAGGUUGAUGCCUGCUCAUGUGUUGUAUAACUUAAUCUCCUAAGGAAUAGGAGUUGCAGGUUUGAUCGUGUUGCCGUGGAGAAUGUCCCCCUCCCGUUCAUUUCCAUCUCAAACAUGGCCGGUCCUCCGUCGGAAGCCUGCGCGGUCAUUUAAAAGAUAAUGAGGGAAAAUUCAAACGAAACACGUCUCUCUUUGAUUGCGUGUCCCAUUUCAAAGUAAGAGAUUUAAAAAAAUAAUUCAGAGCUGAGGGGCUGGUUCGCUCUUUGUGCGCCUCACUGGGGGGGUCGAGCUGCAGCUCGGCUCUGGAGACCGAGCGAAUCGAAAAGGAGGACGGACAUGUGACACCUGAGAGCGGCGAGAGGUCACAGAGGUACCGUUAUCAUUUAUUAGUUAGGGUUAUAAUUUAUUAGUUAAGGGUUAUCAUUUAAGUUAUUAGUUAGGGUAUCAUUAAGGGACCACAGCACAACAACAAGGAGCCCAUUGAGUAAUGAAGCCAUUAGACCCUCCAAGUCUCCUUGUUUCCUUUCCUUCACUCUCAGUGAUGUUAAAUACAUAAAUAAACUAGUUCAUGUUUGGUUUGUCUGUUUUUCAAUCCGAUCACAAUGAUCUGCAAAGAGAUGCUGUUAACAUGCAACCUGAUUGUCGUUUGUCUUCAGAACAGUUUGAAUUAUCCUUAAAGAGGCUCCUUCCAUCUCGUUCGCAUACAAACAUCCUUGAAAUGAGCCUUUUUCAAUCAGUCUCAUUAGAAAAGGGUGAAAUGAGCCGAUGU